rnacentral:snRNA from 1 species
ACUGCUUCUUGGCCUUUUGGCUAAGAUCAAGUGUAGUAACAUUCACUGGAUCUGUUCUUACAGAUAUGAAAUUUGGUUUAUUUUAUAAGGCCCAUUUACAUUCACACUGCCUUUGACAUGGGGUUGAUUUUA